GCACUAAUCAAGUUAAUUUUGGUACGCUAUAUAAUACUACCCGCCCAAAACUGAAUCAAAUAGUCAAUGCCAGGUUAAAAAAUCCAACAUGGCAAUCAAAAGUCAAAGCUCAAUCAGAAGGUCAAAAGUGAGGAAGUUAUGAUCGGAGAGCUGCCCGAAAAUCACUUGGCUCGGACUAACCAAACCGAGCUUUUGAAUGCUCAGCCUGGUUAGUUUGAGCGAACACAAGCAAGAGUUAUCUAAGCAAGGAACAAGAGAUGCUCGCCCAACAAGCCGAGCAUCAACCUUAUCAAGCAUCAACAGUUCCAGGUCAACAAUCAAGGUAGAUUCAUAGGCAAGAAUGUCAG
rnacentral:misc_RNA from 1 species